GGUUCCGGCUGCGUUGGGCUUGCGUGCGGCUCGCUAAGACUAUGGCGUCCGGGCCUCAUUCGACAGCUACUGCUGCCGCCGCCGCCUCAUCGGCCGCCCCAAGCGCGGGCGGCUCCAGCUCCGGGACGACGACCACGACGACGACCACGACGGGAGGGAUCCUGAUCGGCGAUCGCCUGUACUCGGAAGUUUCACUCACCAUCGACCACUCUCUGAUUCCGGAGGAGAGGCUCUCGCCCACCCCAUCCAUGCAGGACGGGCUCGACCUGCCCAGCGAGACGGACUUACGCAUCCUGGGCUGCGAGCUCAUCCAGGCCGCCGGCAUUCUCCUCCGGCUGCCGCAGGUGGCGAUGGCAACGGGGCAGGUGUUGUUUCAUCGUUUUUUCUACUCCAAAUCUUUCGUCAAACACAGUUUCGAGAUUGUUGCUAUGGCUUGUAUUAAUCUUGCAUCAAAAAUCGAAGAAGCACCUAGAAGAAUAAGAGAUGUGAUUAAUGUAUUCCACCACCUCCGCCAGUUAAGAGGAAAAAGCGACCAGCUACAUUUACCAAAGCCUGGGUGAUGUGGAGUGGUACAUAGAGAUGAAGCUGUCGUCAUGGCAACAGACUCCAAGCCCCCUGAUCCUUGAUCAGAACUACAUUAACACCAAAAAUCAAGUUAUCAAAGCAGAGAGGAGGGUGCUAAAGGAGUUGGGAUUUUGUGUUCAUGUCAAGCAUCCUCAUAAGAUCAUUGUUAUGUAUUUACAAGUCUUAGAAUGUGAACGUAAUCAAACCCUGGUUCAAACUGCCUGGUAAGUCACUUUUUUAGAUUUCUUUCCUAGCCAGGAAAACAGAAGCAGAAAUAAAGUAAGUUUCGUUUUCCCUUUCCAAAAUAAUGAGAUAAGUU
rnacentral:sRNA from 1 species